UGGGAAAGGUCGCAUCGCCAUGGCAACGGACUCUUCCGUGGGAAUAACGAACUCUCAAAAGUGCGGCAAAUUGGAGAGGGACCUGCUGAGUGCCAGCUGGGGCUCCAGGGAGGCGGGGGGAUGGGCGGUCUGCAGGGAGUGGAGGGGGUUGCCUUGACAGGCGACCCCAAGCCUGGAUUCAGGGCUGCAUGCAUUCCCUGGAAGUCAGAUGGGGCCACACACGCGGGACACGUGAUGUGAUGUGCUGCUCUCCCCUGGCCUCCGGGUCCCGUCCGCUGACUCAUUUAGAAGGGCCGCCGCCCAGUGACAGCCCAGGCUGAGGGGGGCGCUUCCCACUCCCCUAGCAGACAUGGUGGCAGCUAACGGCUUUCCUGGCGGGACACCCAGCCCCGUGGCUUGUCCAGCACAGGAAUUCUGCUCGUCCUUUCCUGAACUGUGGCAGCUAAUCUGAUGUCCACUGAGCCAGGAAAGAAGGCAACAGGAGUCAGGUUACAUGGCACCCAGGACUCCUUUAUUGUGAGCUGAGUCUGUUACAGAGAAGUAUGGGAUGUACUCUUCUUUGAGUUCCUAAUCCCAGACAAACUUUCCAUAGCAGUGGCUGCGGGUCUUACCUGUUAGAAACCAUGUACGCUUCUCCCUGACUGGCCAUUCAGUCCUGUGUUCAUUUGUUUGUUUACUCAUUUGUUCCCUCGUUGCUGUCAUACAUUUAGAAUAAAACAUGAAGUCCUCAUCAUGGCUUUCAAGGCUCCUGGCAGCUUCUCCAGCCUCAUUUCUUACCACUCCCCACUCAGUCUGAUUUCUGUCUAAUUGUCACACACAUCAAACAUCGUUGAGUUUCAGGGUCUUUGCACUUGCUGGGAGGACUUAUCUGUUUCACGCAUCUCUCAUGCUCCAGCAGGCUAACCUGGGCUUGCUUUCAUGGUAACCUAGCAAGUUUCUGAGAGAGAAGAGAGAGGACCAAGGCCACCCAGGCCUAGGUUUGGAACUGGCACUUGGUCACAGCUUUCACAUCUUACUGGCCAGAGCAGGUCACAGAGAAAUGGGGAUGGGGAAAUGCCAAAGGCUGUAUGGGGGAGAGACUUAACAGUGGCUGCUGUAACCCCUGCCUCCUGUUGUCCAUGACCUCGUAUAAUCCCUCCUUGAGGGUGAGCUGGACCUGUGCUUCUAUCUGUAUGAUCGACUAUGAUAACGGUAAGGGAACAUCAUCGUUAUGAUUAGAUUACAUUACCCAAGACUCUCUUAGCAAACCGGGUACUAGAGACCCUCAUUAUGAGCUCAAUGAAAGAUGCAGCCAUGUUGGAGAAGCUUGUAUGUCAAGGAACUGUGAAAAGACUCCAGGACACUGGGGUGUCCCCAGCCCACAGCCAGAAUGGAACUGGGUUUUCAGUAUAGCCAUCGAAAGUGAACUCUGCAGAGAACCUGAAUGAGCCUGGAAACAGAUUUUUCCCCAGCUGAGCCUCCGGAUGAUGAUGCAGCCUUGUGAGAUCCCAAGCAGAAAACUCAGUCCAGACUCCUGGAUAUGGAAAGUCUGAGAUAAUAAAUG
ensembl:lncRNA